rnacentral:rRNA from 1 species
UGGGGAAUAUUGGACAAUGGGCGCAAGCCUGAUCCAGCCAUGCCGCGUGAGUGACGAGGGCCUUAGGGUUGUAAAGCUCUUUUGGCGGGGAAGAUAAUGACGGUACCCGCAGAAUAAGCUCCGGCUAACUUCGUGCCAGCAGCCGCGGUAAUACGAAGGGAGCUAGCGUUGUUCGGAAUCACUGGGCGUAAAGCGCACGUAGGUGGGCAGUUAAGUCAGGGGUGAAAGCCCGAGGCUCAACCUCGGAAUUGCCUCUGAUACUGGCUGUCUAGAGUCCGAGAGAGGUGGGUGGAAUUCCUAGUGUAGAGGUGAAAUUCGUAGAUAUUAGGAAGAACACCGGUGGCGAAGGCGGCCCACUGGCUCGGUACUGACACUGAGGUGCGAAAGCGUGGGGAGCAAACAGGAUUAGAUACCCACGUAGUCCCUGAGCGGGCUGGCAAGGCGCAU